AUCCCCGUGCGGCGGACCCGAUCCAAGCGAGAAGCAGCAAUCCGCUAUCUUGGUGUCGCUCCUGCCGUCAAUGUUCCGGCCGGCCGGCAGUACUGCAGGUCGUACAUCGCGGCGCACCGAAGCCUCGGCUGCCCCACCGCCCUCAACCCGCCGCCAUGGACAGAUGAUCUCUCUCCACCGUACGUCGGAUACCCUACUGCCUGAGUCAGCGCCGCCGGCGACCUUCCCUCCCACUACAGUAGUAGGAUGAACUGGAUCAGAUAUUGGAAGUGGUACUGUCACAUAUCCUGGCAUCUGCUCAGCCUGCAGCAUGGCACAUGAGUCUUCGACAUCAUUGAGGAUUUCUGCAUCGGCAAAUUGGAAGACUGAUGUGGAAUAGGAGAGGAUGUAAAAACUCUCAAAGUGUGAACCCAUGUGCUCGUCUGCAAUUCCUUGAAGAUGAUGAGAACGAACAAAACCAUUUCGUAAUUGUGAUGAGGACUGCUCCAGGGCCCAGCUUUGUGGUUCUGAUCACAUGUUUGACUCAUGCUUACUCUGGUACAUGGUCUCCAUCCACCCAUCGUCUACAUAUGGCCUCGCCGGAUCGCCACACAGCACCGUCGUCUACGUCUGUCUCGCCUGACAGGCACU